rfam:Myotis brandtii contig285323, whole genome shotgun sequence.
GGCAGUUCUCAGGUGAUGCACCCUGGAAUCGGGCUGCUUCCUCUCUGGUUCUGGGUGUGUCACCUGAGAACCGCA